GACGAACGCUGGCGGCGUGCCUAACACAUGCAAGUCGUGCGAGAAAGUUCCUUCGGGAGCGAGUAAAGCGGCGCACGGGGUGAGUAACACGUAGGUAACCUGCCCCCCAGUCUGGAACAACUAGAGGAAACUCUAGCUAAUGCCGGAUGAGACCACGAUCCCUUCGGGGGUUGCGGCCAAAGAUGGCCUCUACUUGUAAGCUAUCGCUGAGGGAUGGGCCUGCGGGCCAUUAGCUUGUUGGUGAGGUAACGGCUCACCAAGGCUGUGAUGGCUAGCUGGUCUGAGAGGAUGACCAGCCACACUGGGACUGAGACACGGCCCAGACUCCUACGGGAGGCAGCAGUGGGGAAUAUUGCGCAAUGGGCGAAAGCCUGACGCAGCGACGCCGCGUGGGUGAUGAAGGCCU
rnacentral:rRNA from 1 species